rnacentral:rRNA from 1 species
AGGACGAACGCUGGCGGCGUGCUUAACACAUGCAAGUCACGGGGGCCCGCAAGGGCAACCGGCGAACGGGUGCGUAACACGUGAGCAACCUACCGAGAUCUGGGGGAUAGCCGGCCCAACGGCCGGGUAAUACCGCAUACGCUCUUUCCACGGCAUUGUGGAUUGAGGAAACCUCCGGGGGAUUUCGAGGGGCUCGCGGCCUAUCUGCUAGUUGGUGCGGUCACGGCGCACCAAGGCGACGACGGGUAGCUGGUCUGAGAGGAUGGCCAGCCACAUUGGGACUGAGAAACGGCCCAGACUCCUACGGGAGCAGCAGUGGGAAUCUGCGCAAUGG